rnacentral:misc_RNA from 1 species
UUGGUGGGCUUAACUCUUCGUGCCGGCAAAAGGAAAGCACAACUCGACCAUUUAUCGUAUUGCUCCCGGAAUCAGACGCUUUCAACUAUAGCGAGCCAUGAAAAACGACCCCCCUCCUCUCGCGAUCUGCUCUAUCGUCACUAAAUGACCAAUCUUCCUUGAAGAUUCGGAGAACUGAGGCUUAUCAUCUCUUUUAUUCAGGCCACUUUCUGAAGAAAGAUGCGGAUAUGCAAGAUAUUGAAAAUCCUUCAAUGAUAAAAAGCUACUCGUUUUGAAGACGAUGUUUUUAUUAUUUUUUUGAGGAAGGACAUCUGAAUCAGUCAAUAUUUUAAGAACUGCUCGGGGGAGUUUUUAAAAUUCAAAUUGGCAUCUUCUUCUUUUUUUUUUUUUUUUUAAUGGGCAAUUAUUAGUCAGGAAAGAGAGAAUGGAGCUUGAUUUGAACCAAGAACCUUUGGACUCUCCCCAUGGCUCUAUCUUUGGAUUAGGGUCUUUACUGAACGAAUUAGAAACUGCUCAUGGGCACAUAGAAGAACGUAUCAGACAACUUGAAGCAGUCACCUCAAGGGCUAGACAACGCCAAAGAUGGAGACAAAGUGAAACUACCCAUCAAACAGUCAACUUUGCUGUUGAACCUACACCCAAUGGGUUUCACAGUGAUGAUACAACGCUUGCUGAGAGAGUUGCAGUUGCAACCCAGGAAAGGACAUUUGGGGCCAGAAGAAUUAUGAAAAGGAAUGGUACACAUCUGAUAGCUAGGGCACUGGGCAUGGAUACAGAUGCAACGAAUACCAGAAGUGAUCGUGGGAACUUUUUUGAUUGUAACAUAUGCCUAGAUAUGGCAAGAGAUCCCAUAUUGACCCAUUGUGGUCACCUUUUUUGUUGGCCAUGCUUCUAUCAGUUAUCAUAUGUUCAUUUGAAUGUGAAGGAAUGCCCAGUUUGUAUGAAAGAGGUUACAGAUAUAAGCAUUAUUCCAAUUUAUGGCAAUGGAAAUGAUAACAAUACCCAGAAGUCUAGGUUGAAGGAGACUGGUUUGAAGGUCCCUCCUAGGCCCCAGGCACAUAGGAUUGAGAGUCUGAGGCAGCAACUCAACAAUCAUAGAGCAAUUUCUUCUGUGGUUGUUCAAAAUAUUCGGCUAUUGGAUAUGAUUGUUGCCAUGGAGGAGAGAUCUCAGUCACAAGAUCUUGACGGUGCUUCUUACAUGCCUGAAAGAGGGCGUUUCUUCGCCAGUCAAUCCUUUACUUCUCAGGUGUUGCCUGCCAUGCGGAUAGAGGACAGUCAGCAACAUCAUCCCUUUCAAGAUUCAAGGUUAUUGAUGCAAGGAGCAGCUUCGUUUUCUUCUCUUUCAUCUGCACUGAACUCUGCAAUGGAUUCUGUGGAAAGAUUGGUUGAGGACCUUGAGGCAUCUAUUCAUAGGCGUCGUAUAAGAAGAAACCAUCAACGAUCCGCAAGUGUUGUUGAUAGAGGUUCAGUUUCUAACAUUGCUGCUGCUAUUCAACGAGAUAGACAACUUGUAAAUAAUGCUGCUGAUACUGAUUCUACAAUGGCCCGUCCUGCUUCAUCUUUCAGCACUAAUACUACUGCCACUGUUGUGCAAUUAGAAAACCAGAGAACAGAUACUUCUGUAGAAAACAAUAAUGUUGUGGCCAUUUCUUCAUUAUCUUUUAGGAGAAGAGCUGAAGUUUCAAGAAUUUCAGAAGGGGACAAUAGUAUAGAAGUCAAUUCAACCAUGCCCCAUUCUUCAUCUUCUAGGAGAAGAAGUGAAUUUCCCAGAGUUUCAGAUGUAGACAAUGGAUUUUACCGUGAACCUAGGAGGAGAAGGUUGACAUGAUAUAGCCCUAGAAAGGAACACUCUAUUAAUAACCUGUUCCUUGGCUGGAUUCAGUUGAUAAUGUGUUCCUUGGCUUACUGCAAUAUUGUUGUGCUUAAUAUGUAGAUUUCUUUUUCUCUGAGCUGAUGUUUAAGCAGAACUGGGAUCAGCAUAUAAAGCAUUGUAUUACAGAUUUUUGGAAAGUGUUGACUGUAUAUAGUUGCAAAUUUUACUGUAUACU